rnacentral:rRNA from 1 species
UACGUAGGGGGCAAGCGUUAUCCGGAAUUACUGGGUGUACAGGGAGCGUAGACGGUAAUGUAAGUCUGGAGUGAAAGGCGGGGGCCCAACCCCCGGACUGCUCUGGAAACUAUGUUACUAGAGUGCAGGAGAGGUAAGCGGAAUUCCUAGUGUAGCGGUGAAAUGCGUAGAUAUUAGGAGGAACACCAGUGGCGAAGGCGGCUUACUGGACUGUAACUGACGUUGAGGCUCGAAAGCGUGGGGAGCAAACAGG